rnacentral:rRNA from 1 species
UCCGACCUCAGAUCGCACAAGAUUACCCGCUGAAUUUAAGCAUAUCAAUAAGCGGAGGA